CUGUUGCUAUCCUCCUGAGUCCUCUUCUCUCUCUCUCUCUCUCAACCUAGCUUACAGUCUUCCUUUCAUUCUAGUUUUUUUCUUUUUCUUUUUUUUGAAAUAAUAUUCUUAUAAAGGUUUGAUGAGCUGAUGUAGCUAAAAGAAGUGAAAAAACCAAAUGGGUUCUUUUUCUUUUUAUGUGAUCUUGGCCGGAAUCUGUCAUGAGGUGGUACUUGCUAUAUGUUAGUCUCACCACACACAACCAGAGGGAGUGUGUUUUUGUCAGAAUCUUGCCGGAUAAAUAAAUCUGAUCCACUUAACUAAAAAUCUAUGAUUUCCCAAAGUACUAAAGCGCGUUAGUUCUUGAUUCCAUUUAUUAGAUUUUCUUUCUUUCCUUCUUUCUUCUCAUCUGAUAUAAAAAAAAUACUAUUAUAUUUUUAAUGUUGAAAAAGGGUACUGUCUUGUUAUAAAGUUCUGAGGUAAACAAGGUUGUAGGAUUCUUUCUCGGGCAUCCCCUUCACGUAUUCCCUUUUGGCCUUAACCAAUGGCAACAUGCCACAUCAGCUCCUUGCUCGUGGGUUUGUUGGUGUGCUAUGCUUAUGUGCUGUCCAAUAUUUCUCUGUGUUUCUCAAUUUUUUUCUUUACAAGAAUUUGCUAGUAUAUAUUAUUUGUUUGCUUAAUUUCAAUCUUGAAACCUUGUAGAGAGGAGGUAAAAAGAUGGGGCAUGGAAUUGAAGGCUAAAGGGGUUCUUGUGCAUGGAAAUAUUGACAAUCGUUGUUUGCGGGUGGAGCAUCAUCAAGAUUCACAUGCAAAAUGCACGGCCUGUGAUGUUAGAGUUAAAUCUUUCUUUGUUUCUGUUUAUCUGCCAAAGUUCUUUGGUAGUGAGAAUCUUGAUGAUGCUGCAUCGGCAAUAAACGACUAUACAACACAAAAGGACUUGGAAAAGAAAAAACACAGUUUGUGAGUGACACUUUGCUCCUGCUGACCAACAGCAAAUUAAAGCUUGCGGAGAAGGAAAAGGAAGGACACCCUUCGUUUUGCUGACUUUAGCAGAUCUGUGAUUAUUCCCUCCGAGGAAAAUAUUCAGGGGAUGCAAAUGGUAUCUUUUAUGUGUUGCAGAUGUGAUAGGUAACUUUGUUAAUAAGCAAGAAAGGUGAGGGAGGGAGGGGGAGGGAGAGAGAGAGUGUUGAUACCCUUGAUUGUGUUGAUGAUACGAUACGAGCUAAUAAAAUAUUGAGAUUAAAUAGGUGAAUUUAUUAGACCCCUUACUGUUUCCAUUUCUGGGUGUUUGAUUUGAGAUCCGUUACAGAUCUUUGAUUUGUUUCAAAGAAUGAUUGUUUUGGGUGGUUUUCGAUUCUCAUUUUUACACAAAGGCAAAGCAACGAUUAUGUAUGUGGAGGUUCUUUCUUUCCUUGGAAGAUAGACAUUGUUCAUUGGAGUCUCAUAAGACAGAAAGUAGAGCAUUGAAGCAGAAGCUGAUCACAUUGGUAAGGAUAAGAAAAAAUAAAGUGUGUAGUUUUUAUCAGAUUUUGUUAUUUAUGGGGUUUUUUUUUUAUUAUAUCAGCUAAAAUAGCUUAGCUUGAGUUUCAGAGUGUUCUCCAUCCCACAAUCUUUGUCUUCACUGGAAAUGAUUAAAAAUGCUCUUUGAUUAUUUUAUGGACAUUCUUCCAAAUGGUUUUUUCUGUGGAAUCAGUAGAUCCUUGAAAAUUAUUAACAGUUUUGAGAACUUUGGUAUGCGAAAACAUGGUGGGAACAGGUCAUAUUCUUACUGCCAUGGUUGUGUAGGCUUCGGCAUUAGAUCUCUGUACUCACCAAUCUUGUUGGUGGACCAUCUUAUCUUGCAAUUUGGACCCUCGCCUUGUAGUCCUACUUUUUUGCAGACUUAUUCAGUCACACCUAUUUUUUCACCUCUUUCAAUAAUAGCAACCUAAGAGAUUUGGCAAUUUAUUCUCCUUUUCUCUUCACAAUCCAUGACAGUGAUAACUCAGCCAUUUCAAGAUUAUAGAGAUCUGUGUGCCUCCAUCGCUGUCUUAAUCAUUGGUUCUCAUAUUCCAUGCCCAAGGUUUGAAUCCUCUCAUCUACUCUUCUUCUUUAUGAAUCUGAAACAAGGCAGUACAGAAGGGAAAAUUUAGGUUCACUGAUUUACGAACUGUUGUUUUGUUAUGUAUGAGUUUUAUUUCCCGUAUUGUGAUUCAAGAUGUUUCUUUUAACAAAUUAAUCUAAACAAUCUAUUAUUGGUCUUUA